CAAUAGCGUAUAUUAUUGCUGUUGCAGUUGAAACGUUCGUAGUCGAAUUUUACCCGCAAAUGUAUAUUUCUCAUCGUAGAUGAAUGUAUACUGUCGGCGGGGAGUUGCAGUUGCGCGCGUUUCGUGCGCUUUUGCACCUUACUUUGAGUGAAUCGGCGUGUUCGACGCAGGCGUCCGCCUUGAACGAUUUACCAUAGCAUAACCAUAGUAUGGAGGUGUUUCCUUGUUAGUUCGGAAACAUUUUCGAUACAGAAAAGAACGGUUGAGGGCAUUCGUAUUCAACUGCUAGAGGUGAAAUUCUUUGAUUAGUUGGGGACGAACCAUUGCGAAAGCAUCUGCCAAGGACGUUUCUUUUGA
rnacentral:rRNA from 1 species